rnacentral:misc_RNA from 1 species
GAUGAAGAACGUAGCGAAAUGCGAUAAGUAAUGUGAAUUGCAGAAUUCAGUGAAUCAUCGAAUCUUUGAACGCACAUUGCGCCCCUUGGUAUUCCGGGGGGCAUGCCUGUUCGAGCGUCAUUUCAACCCUCAAGCUCAGCUUGGUAUUGAGUCCAUGUCAGUAAUGGCAGGCUCUAAAAUCAGUGGCGGCGCCGCUGGGUCCUGAACGUAGUAAUAUCUCUCGUUACAGGUUCUCGGUGUGCUUCUGCCAAAACCCAAAUUUUCUAUGGUUGACCUCGGAUCAGGUAGGGAUACCCGCUGAACUUAAGCAUACAAUAAGCGGAGGA